rnacentral:sRNA from 1 species
GGGCCCUACGCGGCCGCCUCAGCAUGUCGGACUUCGACGAGUUCGAGCGGCAGCUCAACGAGAAUAAACAAGAGCGGGACAAGGAGAACCGGCAUCGGAAGCGCAGCCACAGCCGCUCUCGGAGCCGGGACCGCAAACGCCGGAGCCGGAGCCGCGACCGGCGCAACCGGGACCAGCGGAGCGCCUCCCGGGACAGGCGACGACGCAGCAAACCUUUGACCAGAGGCGCUAAAGAGGAGCACGGUGGACUGAUUCGUUCCCCCCGCCAUGAGAAGAAGAAGAAGGUCCGUAAAUACUGGGACGUGCCACCCCCAGGCUUUGAGCACAUCACCCCAAUGCAGUACAAGGCCAUGCAAGCUGCGGGUCAGAUUCCAGCCACUGCUCUUCUCCCCACCAUGACCCCUGACGGUCUGGCUGUGACCCCAACGCCGGUGCCCGUGGUCGGGAGCCAGAUGACCAGACAAGCCCGGCGCCUCUACGUGGGCAACAUCCCCUUUGGCAUCACUGAGGUACUGCCUUCCCCUGCCCCUACCCUCUCCCUUGUCCCUCUACCCCGUUCCUCCCCUUCCCUCCAUUCCCUUUCCCCAACCUGCACGGGUCAGACUCUGCUCCUGCAAGACCCCCCGGCCCCCUCCC